CAGGGAGACAACAAAAUGUUUAAUAUUAUUAUUUUGUCACCUUAGGUCGAUCGGUAUCUCGCAUUUUUAAUUUAUUAAAAAUUUCAAUUCCUAAGUUUUUCUAGGUCACACCCAUUAUUUUUCCUGGGCCAUUAGCUCAGGUGGUUAGAGCGCACCCCUGAUAAGGGUGAGGUCCCUGGUUCAAGUCCAGGAUGGCCCAUAUCUCUAUGUUGGGGGUAUAGCUCAGUUGGUAGAGCGCCUGCUUUGCAAGCAGGAUGUCAGCGGUUCGAGUCCGCUUACCUCCACUGAUUACCACCUCUUCCAUAAUCUGUAGAAAAGGAAAAAUUUGAGUUGUGAUCAAAUUCUGAACGAAUCUAGCUUCCUAAUAAAAUCAUUAAGAUGCUGGACUCAUUGAAUUAAUUUCAUUGUUUUCAGAGAACCUUGACAACUGCAUAGAUUAUUUUUAAAGACAAUAAGCAUCUUUAAUGAUGCAGAUUUAUUAUUUGUGCGAAUGCAUUAAUAACAAUUCUAUUAAGCUGAUGCUUCAAUUUUGAAGUUAUU
rnacentral:tRNA from 1 species